rnacentral:rRNA from 1 species
GGGGAAUUUGAAUUGCUUAUUGCACCACAUGUGUUUUUCUUUGAAACAAACUUGCUUUGGCGGUGGGCCCAGCCUGCCGCCAGAGGUCUAAACUUACAACCAAUUUUUUAUCAACUUGUCACACCAGAUUAUUACUUAAUAGUCAAAACUUUCAACAACGGAUCUCUUGGUUCUCGCAUCGAUGAAGAACGCAGCGAAAUGCGAUACGUAAUAUGAAUUGCAGAUAUUCGUGAAUCAUCGAAUCUUUGAACGCACAUUGCGCCCUCUGGUAUUCCGGAGGGCAUGCCUGUUUGAGCGUCGUUUCUCCCUCAAACCGCUGGGUUUGGUGUUGAGCAAUACGACUUGGGUUUGCUUGAAAGACGGUAGUGGUAAGGCGGGAUCGCUUUGACAAUGGCUUAGGUCUAACCAAAAACAUUGCUUGCGGCGGUAACGUCCACCACGUAUAUCUUCAAACUUUGACCUCAAAUCAGGUAGGACUACCCGCUGAACUUAAGCAUAUCAAUAAGCGGAGGAAGG